rnacentral:lncRNA from 1 species
UUUGAAAGAAAAUGACAUUUUUAUGAAAACUCGUAACUAAUUUGUACCUUGGGAAAAAAAUAUUCUUUUGUUUGUCUUCAAAAUGACCAGCUCUCUUCCUUAGGUCUCAAACGAAAAAUAUUAUCCCAAAAUGCUAAGUGUAUUGUAUCCUUUUAAGUCUUUAUUCAACAAGAUACUUUGCGAAAAUUAUAGUAGUAAUUCUAUAUGAUAAAAUUAAUCAUCAAUUAUAGGUCCAAAUAAAACAAAUCACUUAGAUUAACAAACAUGCCGAGUAAGUAAAAACAAAAGCCGCCAUAGGUGACCCCAAGCGAUUCGCUUGUUUUCUCGCUAUCAGGUGCCUUCUAAGAAUAAGGGAUUUGCUGACUCCAUACUCGGUAUGGUGGUGAGUCUUGCAUUAAGAUUCCAAGGUUUGCUCCAAGUGCACAUACAAAGAAAGAAAACAAAUCAAAAGAAUUAGAGAAGAGAUUCGAGUUCUAGAGCGACAAAAAAAAAUGAAUGAACAAGAUUCAUAUCUUAUUUUGUUGUUAUUGACAUCAUGAGUUCAAAUAGUGCAUCAUUUCUAAGUUCACCAAGAUUAAUAAGUUAGUUUUUAGUGUCUUCCAAAUAACAUGACAAGAUAUAAUAUUUCCUAUAUUUACUUGAGAUCCAAAUGAGUUAGACUAAUUACGCUAGUAUAAACAUAUCCUUUCCUAUAGGCAUGGUUUUAAGGUGAUGAAAGUCUCAUAUACAGUAAUCUUUUUUCGCUUAAAUAGAUAGGUGAUUAACGCCUAAUUACAUGCUUUCUACUAAAUACCUUAACCGACAUAUUAAUUAUUAACAUGGUCUAAGCAUACCUUCUAAUAAAGGUCAACUUUCACAUUUUGAAACAAGGAUCAGUAACAAUCUAUGCCUAAAAUUUAUGCUCAAUAUCAUAUAUGAAUAUAACAUGCUACUUACAGAUUUAAUAACGAUAAAUAAAUAAAUCCUAACGAUAUGAUUUGUAACAGGAUUAAACACACAAGCACAAUACCCGAUCCUUUAUAGAUACGACUUGAAAAAUAUCAAUGGUAAUAAGCAGUGGCGGAGGCAGGAUCUCCACGAAGGGGGUUCAAAAAAAAAUUUGUAUCUAGUGGGAAUUGAACUCAUGACCUUAUGUAGAUUUUGAACCCCCUUGACCACUAAACUACACUUUUGAAUUAUGUUAAGGGGGUUCAAAACUUAAUAUAUAGAAGUAAAAAACAGAUUUUGCUUUAUAUAUACUGUGUAUUUUUUCGGCGCGCCCCCUAAAUGCGCCCCUGGUAAUAAGUUCUAAAGCACGGCCUAUAUUAAAAUUACAUACUCGUGAUUUGCUUCUACACAUUGCUUAGUAUUAACAGAAUAUUUGACCACCAACUAAUGAGUACUAAACUAAAUCGGUAACAUCUAAAAAUGCGCUUUAAAGAAAAAGCAGAAUCAUCACAAGAAGAAGAGAAACUGACCUGUUUGAGCGCAGCAAACUGGAGAGCGUCAACCAGAUCUACUAUUUUCGACCUCGGAUUGGCUACUUCCGAUAAUCAUCUUACUCUGUCACAAACAAAAUGAAGGCUAUGUUGUGGCUAUAGGACAACAGAGACCAAGAGGCAGAGAAGCUUAACGCUAGAUUUUUAAUAGAGUAAAGAUGAAAAUAAACUAUGAGAAGUCAACUAAACAAUGAGGUUUUUUGGGGAGAUAGGAGGGGGCGUCCAUCCAUUUUGUGGGAUAAAGGUGCGGCCCAAAGCUUGUCCGAAAAUCUCUUCAAGGGUCAGCAUUUAUAGGCUGAUUUCUAGGGUUCUUGGUUUGGGCUCGAUUUCGAAAUAGAGUGAAAGCUAUUGAACGUUUGAAAGUUGAACGUUGAUGUUGCAAAAAAUUAAUUAAGGUGCAGAGCUUCUUGUUAAAAAUGGUAAUAGCAAGUUCUAUCAUGGCUGAGCAAGGAUGGAAUUUUGUGAAGAAGAGGAAAGGGAGGAGAAGAAAUGUCUAUUGGGUUAGGAGGGAGAACAGGGUUAGCAAAUUGGAUUUAACUGAUGGGAUAAAUAUUGACCACUGGAUUAAAAUAACGGAUGGCUCAGAUUAGGCUUAGGAUAAAACAAGAUAAAAAUAAAGAAAAAUACAUAAAAUUCUCUAAAAGAUGUGGGGUCAGAGUGUGAAGGGUGUGCUAGGCGUGUGUUUUAGAAUGUUGGCGCCUAUGUGGCGCUGACAUGGGGCUUAUAUGUAGGAGUGGCAAUUUGAGCCCAAACCCACUAACCCACCCAACUAGCCCAGAGAUUAAUGAGUUGGGCUACAAAUAUUUUAGCUCAUGAGUCAAUUUGGGUUGAGCCCAAGUUAACCCAUUAUUUUUUAUAGCCCAUUCUGACCCAUUUAACAGCUCAAAUGCAACCCAUGAAACUCACCAAAAAACAAAGUAUUUCAACCCAAUAUAUCUAGAAAUUUACUUAGUUGCCCUAAUUUUAUUUAUUAUUUUUUUUUGUAUUUUUAAUUUUCUAUUCUUCUGUUUUUCUACACCACCCAACCUACCCCUACCCCUACCCCCGCGCAAAACCCCCCAAAAAAAUUUACUUUUUUUUGUAUUUUAAAUUUUCUAUUUUUUUGUUUUUCUGCGCCACUCACGCCUCCCCACCCAUAAAAUAUUUGUCAACUUACAUAUUUUAAGGUAAAAUAUUUUUUUAUUCAAGAUGAGCAUGAUUCUAAUAUGGGUCAAGUUGGGCGGGUUGGGUUAUGACCCAUUGUUUAGCCCAUCUUACCCAAAUACACUUUGGGUAGGGUUGGGCAAUGACCCAUUUAUUGACCUAACUCAUCUUGACCCGCCCAAAUUCAGCCCAACCCGCCCAUUUGCCACCCCUACUUAUAUGGAGCUGACAUGAAAAAGAAGUAGAGUAGGUGGGCUGGUGGGUAUAGGCCUCCGAUUUGGGCUAUGGAUAGGGCUAAAUCUCUUCUUCUUUAUCUUUUAUUUGGGCUUCUUAAAUCUUGAUAUGCCUAAUAGUAAAUAUUUAUAUUAAAUAGUUUUCUAGUGUUUAAAAAAUUAUAAAUUUGUGUUGUAAAAAUCCAUUUAGUAGAUAACCACUAAUUUAAAAUGGGCAUGUAAUAAAUAUGUAAAUCACCUGAAUAACUAUAUUACAAAUAGGAGUAGAAUCAAUGCAAUGCAGUGACAAAUAUUUGUAAAAAGAGAAUAUUAUUAGUUGAUUGACGUUGAAUGAAAUUAAUUGAGAUAUAAAAUCGUCGUCAUCGUCGAGGUAGUAGUAGUAGUAGUAGUAGUAAUAAUAAUAAUAAUAAUAAUAAUAAUAAUAUCUCGUGAUGAUAACGACAAAAAUAAGAAUAAUAAAAUAACAAUACUAAUUAGAUAAAAUAGUAAAAUAAAUAUUCUUACAUAAUAAACGAUAUUAGAAGCUCAAAUAAAUAAUUUGGAAGAAAAGAUGGACAAAAUUGGAUGUCAACACCACCCAGCAGGCAACAGGCAAGCAGAGUCCUCCAACAAGUCAAUACUAAACAUCAUGAAGAAAAAGCUUGAAGACGCUAAGGGACUGUCGCUGGAGAUACUACCAGAAGUAUUGCGGGCUUACUGAACAACUCCGAAGACGAGCAUAGGAGAGACGCCCUACUAUUUGGUCUAUGAACCGAGGUAGUAAUACUAGUCAAGGUCAGAGAACCUAGCCUAAGGUACUCCCAUGAGAGCGGUACAAACAACGACGAGAGCAGAAGGCAGGAGCUCGAUGAAGUCGACGAACGAAGAGAUAUGACCUAUAUAAGAAUGAUCACCCAAAAACAACAAGCAGAACGCUAUUAUAACAAGAAAGCAAAGGUCAGGCCACUCAAAGUCGGGGAUUACGUACUUAAAGCUAAAACACAUGUGAGCAAAGACCCCAGGAAAGGCAAGUUGGGAACGAAUUGGGACGGUCCGUACAAAAUCACAGCAAAAGCAAAUAAAGGGUCAUUUCAAUUAGAAACAAUGGAAAGAAAGCUACUACCAAACAACUGGAAUAUUAGCCACCACAAAUACUUCAACUUUUAAGAGAUAAAGCGUCCCCCAAGUCGUACUCUUUUUUCCCUCACUUGAGUUUUGUCCUAGUUAGGAUUUCUCAAGGAGGUUUUUAACGAGACGACAAAGGGGACACUUUAAGAUGAAGUAUACUAAGAUGGGAGCGUGACUGCUAAUUCAUUGCUCUACCUCUCAAACACUCUCCAGGUCAACUAAUGAAGGGACUAGAUAGACUAAGACUGGGACUGGAACGCCAGCCAAUGCCCGAUAAAUUUGUAAUAUAUCUCCAAGUAUGUAACCAGAGCAAUAAUGCCAAGAUAAUAAACUUUACACUUAUCAACACAUCUUUCUCAAAUUUAGGUUACGUUCGACCUUGUUCGAACUAACACAUACUAGCUCUCGGCCAUAACAAAAUUUAGGUUACAUUCGACCUUGUUCGAACUAACACCUACUGGCCCUCUGCUAUAACAAAAUUUAGUUUACGUUCGACCUUGUUUGAACUAACACCUGCUGGCCCUCGGCCAUAACAAAAUUUAGGUUACAUUCGACCUUGUUCGAGCUAACACCUACUGGCCCUCGGCUAUAACAAAAUUUAGGUUACAUUAGACCUUGUUCGAACUAACACCUGCUGGCCCUCGGCCAUAACAAAAUUUAGGUUAUGUUCGACCUUGUUCGAACUAACACAUACUGGCCCUCGGCCAUACUAAUAUAUAGGUUACGUUUGACCUUGUCCGAACUAACACCUACUAGCCCUUAGCCAUAAUCAAAUUUAGGUUAUACUCGACCUCGUUCAAACUAACACCUACUGGCCCUUGGCCAUAAAUCUAAAUUACAUUUGACCUUGUUCGAAUCAACACUUGCCGGACCUCGGCCAUAUUCUAACACACAAAGAAUGAGCCAAGGUAUCCAAGCAACAGAAGCCAAAAACAUACAAAUACAGAAAACGAACUACAGGAAAAGAAGCAGACGCAAAAAACAAAUUUGGCAUUGCCGACUUAAAACAUCUAUUACAAAGGCUCGUGAAGAUGCCGCCAAAAAUGCACAAUAUUUACAAAAAAGAGAAGAAGAAAAACUAUUGAUCACCGCCAUCAUGGCCUUCUACGCCCUCAGUACCUUGUUCAUCUCCACUCACGCUAUCCAUGCCCUUAGGAUAAGCGGCGACAUACCAAGCGUCCUAUUCAAGCCUAUCCAUAUAUUCAUCAUCCUCAUCAUCACCCUCAGGAGUAGCAGAUCAUACCCGCAAGCGAUUAAAGCUUCAUGAGCCUUAACACGAACACCCUCGAGGGUGACCUCAGAAACGGAUCCCCCCUUAUGCAAAUCUCGAUAUACAUCCAAUUGAGCCUCGGCAUGAAUACACUCCUCAUACAAUUCCCGAGGAACAUUAGGAAAGUCCGAAGUAUGAGAAGAAGAGGACCGUAUAAGGAGUUGAGCCUUCUCAGCUUCCAACACGACCACCCGACCAUGAAGGAUGGUGUUAUCUUUCUCCAGCUUUCCGACCCUAUCCUCUAGUUGUUCCUCCUUAGCCUUCGUCGUGGACUGGUCAUUCUCCCGCUCGGCCUGGAGGGCGUUGUACGCAAGCUCAAGCACCACCAGUCUUCUCUGAGCAUCAAAGCGAAGAGACUCUGCCUUCUCAAGCUCACUCUGUUUCUCAUAAACUUCACCAUUAAGGCCCUCCAACAGAAGCCGACAUUCCUCCAAUCGCCUGCACAGCUCGACCACUUGUGCUUAAAGGUCACUGCAUUGGGCCUUCACGCCCUUACUGACCUUAAGCUCCUCUUCCUUACUUCUCAACGUCCUUUCAAGGAUGCUGCAUUUUUCAAUGGACUUCACCGACUCAUCAUUUUUCUCCUUCAACUCACUUCGAAGGGCUUGCAUGUUGCCACCCUCAUCAAGUCAUCGAUGAAACUCCCGGUACUUGCGAUGGUACUCAAAAUACUUGUUUUUCAAUCUUACAAAAAAUUCCCUAUGCCUUUCCUCCCUCCGCGCUCUCGAUCUCCAAAAUCAUAGUUUGCGACAAGAAGAAGGAAAGAAAUGAGUCAAAAACAAAAACAAAGACAAAAGAAGAAAAUAAUAGGACACUGAAAACUCACUCUAAGGCAAAGGACAACAAUACUCCUCGACAGAGUAGCGUCACUCAAAUCAUGAUCCAUAGGAAUCACAAUGGUCCUUGUAGACCUCUCCAACCUCACCUCGAGUUGGGUAAAUCCUUCCUACACCAUCUUCAGUUCGCCGCAUCGACGUCUGAACCCGUAUUAUAACUUUCCUCAGCAACGUCUUUGCCUCUCUCAUCGGCUGGCAAAGUAGUAUCAUCAGUUGGUCGAGAAGUCGAUGAUCCCUCUUGCUGAGAAGUAUCAAGGACUCCAAUAAUCAACCCUUCGGCCUCCGUCAUUGCAGAAGGAAGAGACAUACCCACGUUGACCUCCGUCGACCUUGGAGUAUCUAAUACAUGCUCGACGUCGUCUCCGAUGACAAUGGUCGUCGUCUCACGGAGCGUUAAGUCACCCCCUUAUUAAGCCAACAGCCCGGGCAACCCCUUCACCAGCAUCUACAAACCUUAUUUUGCGAGGCAUCAUGUCUUCAUCGCCAGGUUCAAUCUCGUCAUGUUCAUCUAUGAGACGGUAUAAGAAGGGGGUCGAGGUCCCCGUGGUCGAGGAAGGAACAGGACCAGACGCAGUAGUAGGAGAAAUGGGGGCAUGAGUAGAGGCAUCUGAGGGAGAGGAAGGGAUCAGGUCAUGAACAGAGGUUGUCGCAGUCAAAAUGGGGUCAGAAGCUAAAGACUU